UACGGGGGGGGCAAGCGUUGUUCGGAAUUACUGGGCGUAAAGGGCUCGUAGGUGGCCAACUAAGUCAGACGUGAAAUCCCUCGGCUUAACCGGGGAACUGCGUCUGAUACUGGAUGGCUUGAGUUUGGGAGAGGGACGCGGAAUUCCAGGUGUAGCGGUGAAAUGCGUAGAUAUCUGGAGGAACACCGGUGGCGAAGGCGGCGUCCUGGACCAACACUGACACUGAGAGACGAAAGCUAGGGGAGCGAAUGGG
rnacentral:rRNA from 1 species